rnacentral:misc_RNA from 1 species
UUUGAGUUUUGAGCAGUCGGACACUUUUAGCUUUACCAAACGUUUUAACUCGCCAAUGCUGCUUGGAAGUGUUGCAAGGUUUUGCAUGCCAAUCAAAUCUAGUUCUGUAAGACAAGACUGGUGCUGAAUAAUAGCUGAUGGUAGUUUCCUUAUCCCAGAACGUUGCACUUGAAUCUUUAUCUCUGGCUUCAAUUUUCCCCGGAUCUUCGGGAAUUUCUCUAAAUUAGAGCAACCUUGUAGAUAUAGACAUUCAAGAGAUUCCCAGCAAACAUAGCUAAA